rnacentral:rRNA from 1 species
GAUGAACGCUGGCGGCGUGCCUAAUACAUGCAAGUCGAGCGAACUGACGAGAAGCUUGCUUCUCUGAUGUUAGCGGCGGACGGGUGAGUAACACGUGGAUAACCUACCUAUAAGACUGGGAUAACUUCGGGAAACCGUAGCUAAUACCGGAUAAUAUUUUGAACCGCAUUGUUCAAUAGUGAAAUACGUUUUUGCUUUCUCUUAUAGAUGGAUCCGCGCUGCAUUAGCUAGUUGGUAAGGUAACGGCUUACCAAGGCAACGAUGCGUAGCCGACCUGAGAGGGUGAUCGGACACACUGGAACUGAGACACGGUCCAGACUCCUACGGGAGGCAGCAGUAGGGAAUCUUCCGCAAUGGGCGAAAGCGUGACGGAGCAACGCCGCGUGAGUGAUGAAGGUCUUCGGAUCGUAAAACUCUGUUAUUAGGGAAGAACAAAUGUGUAAGUAACUAUGCACAUCUUGACGGUACCUAAUCAGAAAGCCACGGCUAACUACGUG